CGCGACGCCAUUCUUCUCACUCUCCAGCUUCAGCGGUGCCCACGUUUACGCAUUUGUGAAGAAAAGCAGGCUCACCUCCACUGAAGCUGGCCGUGGC
rnacentral:lncRNA from 1 species